AUAGGAGAAAAAGGACCGCAGAGUUUAGGGCAUAAUUUUCAGAUUUUUCCCCAAAUUUGACAUACGAUUCUGAGCGGUGAGAAUGGCGAUUGAAGAUGCAAAAGCAAAACUGAAUGGUUUAAGUGUUUCAGACGAGUCAACGACAACCGAAGAAGAAGAAGAAUUUGUUGUUCCAACCAAAAUCGAAGAAGCAGGAAGGAAAUAUUGCUGUGCUAAAUGCUAUCGCUCAUACGGACGAGUAACCCAUGUUGCUUUAGAAAAGAGAGUCACCCUGGAACCAAAUGCUCUUGUGUCUGGCCGAAAUGGACGGAAGGACCAAUUAUAUUACACUAAUCGUUAUCCUGGGUAACUUCCUGAAAUAGUGGGAUGGUACUUUGUAAGCAUCUAUUAUCCUCUACUGCAAUUGGAUUAAAUGUACAUAUACCUCUUUGCUUGCUUUGAUAAGUUGUCUUUCGGUUUCUAGAGAAUUGCUGGUCCCUUCAAGGUUGGUUACGCUGGAUUCUUUUUGCACUGCUUGCAGAGCGCUGUCUUAGUACGCAGCAUUCUGCAGUCCGUUGCAGAUAGCCUAUACCCUCCCAUGUAUACAAACUGGCCCAGCUUUGCACUUGUUUGAUACCACCAAUGUGCCCUGGGUCCUGUAGCUUCUGCGAGUUCCAUAUUUACCUCUAGUUUCUGCGAGUUCCAUAUUUACCUCUGAUCAGGAAUUUGACACCUAGAAAGUGCAGUGUACAGAGUGACUGCAAAAGGGACAAUCAUCGUUCACUAGUGUACUGGUGCGACACAUUGAUGGACAGGUUGCUUUACCUGGCUUUUAUUCUUGGGUGCAUCAUGGUGUUGAUGAAAUUUCUGAGGAGGAUUCUAUUUGAUUACCCGGAUGUUUACUCCUGUUACAGGAUUGCUUAACACUCACAUGGUAGCGUGUGGAGGAGCAAUAUCUGAAGAUUUGGUAGGAGAGUCGUUAAUGGUGAAAUUGCAGAUGGGAAGAUUUUGGCUCCCUUGUUUUGCAACUACUGCAACGAUAAGGUGGGUUUCCAGUGGAUUAAUGAAGUGCACGGAGAACAAUAUAACCAUGGAUUGCCUCUCGCAGAUAUGAGCUCAAUUUUCAGAUACUCAGGUGCAGAUGAUUGAUUUUUGGCUGGGGAUAGAAAGUGUAGUACUAGUAUCAAAGGGUUAUCAACAUCUUACUUGACAUACGCAUUACUGUUAUUAAGUUUUUGAUUAUCUUGAACAUCUUACUUAAUUCUCUAUACUUCUAACUAAUAGAUAGCUAUGCAGUUAUAUUUACUUUUAAUUGGGUUUAUAAGCCCCAUAUAUUGCAUAAAAAUGACACGUAAGUGAACAAGGUUAUUUGUAAAAAUGGAGCAUAAUCUCAAUCUUUGGGUA